rnacentral:misc_RNA from 1 species
GUGAAUCAUCGAAUUUUUGAACGCAAAUUGCACUCUCUUCGGUGAGUAUGCCUGUUUGAGGGUCAGCCUAAAAAAAAUCGACAUAGUUGCUGUUUUCGCGGUGACAUUCGUCGGAAAUUCGGUCAUCUUAAACCUUUGGGAUUUAAGCGGCUUAAAAUUUUCUUCUGGUUCUAUGAACGCUUCUAAGAUCUAUUUCUUUACACGUUUAAGGUAUCGUUUUUUUUUAGUCGUGACCAUCAUAUUGGAUCGCGU